rnacentral:rRNA from 1 species
AACGAACGCUGGCGGCAUGCCUAACACAUACAAGUCGAACGAAGUCUUCGGACUUAGUGGCGCACGGGUGCGUAACGCGUGGGAAUCUGCCCUUGGGUGCGGAAUAACUUCUCGAAAGGGAUGCUAAUACCGCAUAAUGUCGUAAGACCAAAGAUUUAUCGCCCAAGGAUGAGCCCGCGUAAGAUUAGCUAGUUGGUGGGGUAAAAGCCUACCAAGGCGACGAUCUUUAGCUGGUCUGAGAGGAUGAUCAGCCACACUGGGACUGAGACACGGCCCAGACUCCUACGGGAGGCAGCAGUGGGGAAUAUUGGACAAUGGGGCGAAAGCCUGAUCCAGCAAUGCCGCGUGAGUGAUGAAGGCCCUAGGGUUGUAAAGCUCUUUUACCAGGGAUGAUAAUGACAGUACCUGGAGAAUAAGCUCCGGCUAACUCCGUGCCAGCAGCCGCGUAAU